AUUGAACGCUGGCGGCAGGCCUAACACAUGCAAGUCGAGCGGAUGAGAGGAGCUUGCUCCUUGAUUUAGCGGCGGACGGGUGAGUAAUGCCUAGGAAUCUGCCUGGUAGUGGGGGAUAACGUUCCGAAAAGGACGCUAAUACCGCAUACGUCCUACGGGAGAAAGCAGGGGACCUUCGGGCCUUGCGCUAUCAGAUGAGCCUAGGUCGGAUUAGCUAGUUGGUGAGGUAAUGGCUCACCAAGGCGACGAUCCGUAACUGGUCUGAGAGGAUGAUCAGUCACACUGGAACUGAGACACGGUCCAGACUCCUACGGGAGGCAGCAGUGGGGAAUAUUGGACAAUGGGCGAAAGCCUGAUCCAGCCAUGCCGCGUGUGUGAAGAGGUCUUCGGAUUGUAAAGCACUUUUAAGUUGGGAA
rnacentral:rRNA from 1 species